rnacentral:tRNA from 1 species
GGAGAGGUGGCUGAGUGGCCUAAGGCACCGCGUGCGGUACACGGGCAACCGUGUCGGAGGUUCGAAUCCUUCCCCUCUCCGCCA